rnacentral:rRNA from 1 species
UACAGAGGUGGCAAGCGUUGUUCGGAAUUACUGGGCGUAAAGGGCGCGUAGGCGGUUCGUUAAGUCCUGUGUGAAAUCCCCCGGCUCAACUGGGGAACUGCACAGGAAACUAGCGGGCUUGAGUUCGGGAGAGGGAAGCGGAAUUCCGGGUGUAGCGGUGAAAUGACGUAGAUAUCGGGAGGAACACCAGUGGCGAAGGCGACUACCUGCCUGUCUGACGCUGAGGCGGCGAAAAGCU